rnacentral:rRNA from 1 species
GAUGAACGCUGGCGGCGUGCCUAAUACAUGCAAGUCGAGCGAACGGACGAGAAGCUUGCUUCUCUGAUGUUAGCGGCGGACGGGUGAGUAACACGUGGAUAACCUACCUAUAAGACUGGGAUAACUUCGGGAAACCGGAGCUAAUACCGGAUAAUAUUUUGAACCGCAUGGUUCAAAAGUAAAAGACGGUCUUGCUGUCACUUAUAGAUGGAUCCGCGCUGCAUUAGCUAGUUGGAAAGGUAACGGCUUACCAAGGCAACGAUGCAUAGCCGACCUGAGAGGGUGAUCGGCCACACUGGAACUGAGACACGGUCCAGACUCCUACGGGAGGCAGCAGUAGGGAAUCUUCCGCAAUGGGCGAAAGCCUGACGGAGCAACGCCGCGUGAGUGAUGAAGGUCUUCGGAUCGUAAAACUCUGUUAUUAGGGAAGAACAUAUGUGUAAGUAACUGUGCACAUCUUGACGGUACCUAAUCAGAAAGCCACGGCUAACUACGUG